rnacentral:lncRNA from 1 species
AUGCCCGGCAAACACAUUGUUGCCAAACUGCACAUCAAAUGUUCGGUUGCUCCUCGAGCAUGAGUAUAACAUUUUUCCAUAAAUUCUUCUCCCUUCUUUGGGGCACAUUUAAAGUUGAAAAUCGGAUUAUAAUAAUCCCCUGGUCAGCCCUAACGGUCAACAGGAUAUGGGAGAAGGAUGGUGAGAUGAAGAACUUUAACAAGUUGUAAUCUUUUAUGGCAGCAAAUUGUAUUUCUGCAUCAAGGCGAGCUAAGAGCCAAGAGCCAAGACCAGCACCAGGACCAUCUCGUAUGAAUAUGCGGAAUCCCAUUGUGGUUCCUCACAUGGCGCGCAUGGAAUGGCCUCUCGGCCGAAUGGAUAUUUGGUGUUUACUCCAUUAACUUUGCAGAACCUUGGCUUAAUUGCUUGGGCUUCAUUAAGGUCAGAACAAAACUAGCCGAAAACAGGAAAAACCAAAAAGGGAGAAUUGUGUAAAAACUUUUAACUUUUUAAUUUAUGCAUUGACAAACUUAAGCGACCAAAUGGGACUUGGACUGGAACUGGUACAGGGACGGAGACUGGUACUGGUACUGCUACCGGCACCAGGGCCAAGGCAGAAAGAGAAGGAUAGCAGGGCGGCGGGACAAACAAAGGAGCCAAGUCUGUUCCCAAUGCGAUAAGCCACAAAACUGCACUCUCAGACACUUCUGCGGCAGCACAGAAAGUUGACUGGGGCAGACUCCUCUCUCUUAUAAAAAGAGGGUAGCCGGCAAAAUAAAAAUAAACAAACAAAAUAGAAAACGUUCACUCGCCAUCCCUGCUAGUACUUUUUUAAUUGCAUCUUCAGCAAGCUACUGAGAGAAAGGAACUGAUUCUCAAACCGUUCCUUUGACCCGACUUGAAAAAAAGGGAAGCCUGCAGAAAUUUUCAACUGGCUCAGAGCUCGUUUCGGGAAGAGCUUAAGGUUUGGACUGACUUGUAAACAGGCUUAGGCGUCCUUUGAGCAAAAAGAAGGGCUGUUAAAAUGAUGGACUUGACUCAAGUAUUAUUCUUAAAUUGCUGAAAAGUAGGAGUUUAUUUUUGUAGAGUAUGGAAGCGCAUUCGAGAACAUCAAUUACAGCAAUUACAAAUUUAUCAAUUGAAUCUUAAGGCACUUAAUGUGAACACAAAAGUCUGUCAAACGUCACAGAACUAGUAAAAAGUCUGUGAUCCAUCAAAAAUCUACCAAUCAAAUUAGUUGCCGAAGACGAUUAGCAAACAUUCCGUUCCAAUAAAUAUGUCCGGUCAUUUGUCUCAACUGGCUUGACAUCUGCUGCUGUUGAUGUUCCGGCAUUUCACAGAUUGUUCAAAUACAAAAUAUCUACAAAGCAGCAACAGAACAAUGGGAUGAGCGAGCAGAUUCUUGCCUACCAAGAUAGAUGGCUCGGCAUUGAGAGCUAAAUCAAAAUAGGGUCUGCAAGAGGUGGAGAACUAUUAAACCGCUUUUAGCACUGAGAGCAAACAACGUGCACUCCACAUGCACAGACACAAAUACUCGUAGGCAGGCAAAUGGGAGGGUUGAGCCAAACUUGCGAAAAUUGGUAAACAAUUUAUGUGGUCAAAUAAAAUAGCACAGAAGUGGAGCUGGCUAGCGCAGGAGUAGCAGCAGCGGCAGCGGCAGCGGCAGCCAAAACAGGAACGGAAACAAAUUUAUGGCUGCUCAAACCAAUACCAGAAUACUGGCAAAAACUUCAGCCAGCUGAAAAAAUAAAAAAAUAAAAGAUACGUUUAUGCAAUUCGUGCAGCGUCGUAGUCAGAGGGGGGAUCCACACUCAGAUACCAAAUGGAAGCCAAAAACUUUAAAAGUGGGGCAGGUCUAUUUGUUGUUUAAUUGGGAAAUGUGUUGAGAGUAUUGGGAAAUGUAUCGCUAGGUAAACAGCGGUAUUAAAAAUACAUAAAUGCUACAAAUAUUAAUGGUAGAUACAAGUGUUUUCUGUCUCAGGGAUCCCCUAAAAUAUUUGAGCUUCUACGCCCUUUGCCACAUACAAUAGUUGAAUAGAUGCAGAUACCACACUCUGAGGAGGAGAAGGAUAUAAAUUACAUGCUUAGCUACUCAUAGUUCUCAGGCCCCAACCCCUCGACGCCCCUACUCGAACUCAAAAGUUUUCCCAUUUUUUCGCUUGCAUGGGAUUGUUGUUGUAGAGAUUAUGAAAUAAAUUUCCACAUGCCACACAAUUUCUGCAUCCACAGACCGAGCAACAAAUAUUCUAUGUACACAUAUACGAGCUCGUUUGAACAUAUAUCUAUGUGGGACCUCUCCGCCUGCCCUUUUCGCUGAAUGUUGCACUUGAGAUGUGCUCCGGCGACUGAAAGUAGGCAACGGGACCUAAAAUUACACACAAACGCUCGUCCUGCCACACACAUAUCCAUUGAAGAGAGAGCCGAUGGCCAUUGCAGCAACAACAACAGAAGAUUUGCAUAUGAAAAUAUUUUUCAAUCGCCCCACAGGUUUUUCCUGCGCAUGUGGUUAUGUGUAUUUGUUGAGGCGAAGUUUCCCUCGAUAUGAGUUUUUGUUGUGCCAGCAAAUGCAGGGAUGGGAAAGAGAAAAGUUGUACUUUCAGACUGGAGAAAAUUUGUAAAGUUUCUUCCGCUUUCAAUACAUAUAUUAUCAGAGAUAAGAGUUCGAACUAGAAGUGGAGUGUUAGCUGCGGAUGUGGAAAUAUGUACUCGAAUUUGUGGGAGCUAAGAUUUCUUCCUGAGAUGACAAGUUGUCGCAAAAAAUGAAGAAAAUGGGAAAAAUGGGUCUUUCCUGAAGCUCAUCGAAUAUAUUAGUUGAUUAUUUUAUUACUAAACCAGUACUUUUGGAAUAAGGAUAAAUGUUAUAUUUAAUACAGAAGCUAGUCCCUACUCACACAAAUUAAUUUAUAAAUUUAAAAUUAAGAAGUCUUAUUUUUAAAUUUUUAAUAAGCGUUAUUUUUAAUAUUCAUCCACAGCUGGAUUUUAGAAAUGUUUUAUCAAAUGAAGAUGGCACAGCCCAUAAAGAUCAAAAAUAAAUUCAAAACAAAUAGCUAUCAGUCCAGUGUGCAUGACAAGUGAUCGAAGUAAAGCUUGAAGCGGGAUCGAAAAAACAUGAGUGGAGAGUUCAAUAGUUGCAGCGACAGCUAAAAGUUUGCGAGUGAGAGAGAAAGAACAGUUAUUCAUGUGAGCGGAGAGAGGAGAGAAGAACAGUUGCAGCGACAGCUAAUCAGAGAGAGAGAUCUCUACUGCACCGAAAGUUUGUGAGUGAGAGAGAAGGAACAGUUAUUACGGUUGGGCGAUAGCGAGAGAGUGAGAGUUACAGGCAGCAAACGCUACGACAAAAGAGCGGUGAAAUGUGAGGGAGUACUUACGAAAAGCAACAACGCAAGCGCACGACCUACCGAUGCGGAAAUGAAUUCAUUGAACACAAUUAACAGGCAUGAGAACUCGCGGAUUAGGAUGGGUUCAAAUAUUAGCUAGAUCAGGGUUAACAAGUUUUUUUGAAGUAAAAGGUAAAAUGAAAGGAAACCAAAUUAAAUUAAACCUCCACCUUUUAGACUUUUAGCUGCUGCUAAGGAAAUAUUUGAGUUCGUGUGAACUAAUAUUUCUUAGUAAAUAUUGUUUUUUUGUUGUGAUUUUCUAGAUGCCUCAUUAAUGAAAUAAUGCCACAUGUAGAUUUUUCUUGGAUCUUCCAACCAAUGUAUGUAUCCUGAAGCUCAGUUUAUUAGUUGAUUAUGUUAUUAUUAAACGAGUUCUUUUGGAAUAAGAAUGAAUAUUAUAUGAAUUCCAGAAGCUCAUCCCUAAUGGUCUUUGUGCUAACUAAAUUAAUUAUAACCUGUCCUUAAGUCAAAAUCCACAAAGCAUUACAACUAUAAAUCAUAAUUUAGUAGCAAUUAGAUACCACAUGAGGUCAAAGUAAAUUGCCUGCGAAUGCCAAUGGAAUGACGAAUUGACAAAACGACGAAUCAUUUAUUUUAAUAUGUAUCUAAUUUGCAUGUGGCUUAUGGUUUUAAUAAAGUCUCCCAUAAAUAGCACUUCGAAUUGAAACCGAAUCCCAUUGGAAUAUACACACGCACAUUCUUGAAUAAUAAUACAAACACUCGAGGUAUUUCCAUAAUUAAGUUAAUAAAUGGCACAAGUCAGGUACUGGAAUAAAGCAUGCCUUGAUUUUGAAUGAAUAAAACACAUCCUGUCUUCUCCCAUCCCAUUCUGUUUGAAAUAUGUAAAUCCCCUUUGAACUAACCUCAAAUUAAUUAUGAUACCAAAUGGUUCAGGAAAACCAAACAAAAAAAGGAGUUUCGAAUAAUUUCCUAAAAAUAUACAUGUAUUCCACAACGACGCGACGAAAACUAAUUAACGCCCACUCCACAACACCUGGCUCAGCUUCUUGUUGGCAUUUUCACGGGAUUUUUCCUUAAGCCCCAUACACAAAAUCACUCUUUUUCAUAAACCACAGCAGACCCAACCCAAAAAAAAAAGGGGGAACCAGGAGCUACAAGAGAAAUGCCUUGCCUGGAGAAGAAUGCGACGCCGUUGCAGGUGGCAGUAAAAAAUUGUUUAAAUUUCCUCAGGUCUCUCGGUCUUGGGGUAAAGAGACCUGGAUGGCUGGUUCUGGCGCUCGUCCUGGGGCCGCGGGGUCACCCGCAACCGAGAUCGGGGCACAGCUCAUUAAACGCUGUCACAGGCUACCUCCUUUUGCCUGCUUGGUUUUUAAGCCUGUUGCCGUUGUUGUUUUAAGGAUAAUCCGCAAACGCUGCCGACGACUUAAUGCGCCCCUUGGCUGUGCUAAAUAGCUUUCAUUAUUUUACUUUAUUCUCACAUAAAGCGCACGAAAAACUUUUUUCGAAACCAUUUUUACGGCUCCCAGAGAGUGCAACUGAACAGAAACAGAGGAAAACAGAAGAAAACCAGAAGAAAACAGAAAACCCCUAAAGAUAAGGAGAAAGAGAGAAAUAAAUGUUCGUUCUACACUGGUUAAGAAAUUCUUUCUUUUUUUUUAUUUGCAAAGUCUUUCUGGGGCAGCUUUCUGUGUGGACAGUUUGCUUUAAGGCAACGCCAUUUCCCACUCGGCAGUAAUAAAUCAUUUCACAUAUCAAUCAGUCAAUCAAAUAAAUGUUUUUACUACCCCCAAUACCGAUGCCCUCCUCCAGCCAGUAUUGAUUGUCCUACUAAAUACAAUUUUGCCUAGUCAGGAAAAUAUGGGGAAGCAGGCAAGAGGAAGCGAGGAAAACUCUGCUAGGCAUUUGACAUAUUCCAUCAACAAAAAAAAAAGGAGGAAAGUCGAAGAAGCCGUCGAAGAAGCAAAACCUGCCCAAGACAUUGUUGCAUACUCGUGCUCGUAGUUUCCCAACAACUAUGCCAGAUGUGCCCAAUGAGUGGAGCCGGAGAUAUGGUAAAGGCACAGACUGAGUGAGGGGCACGUUGUGAUGCAAUUGACAAGUUUUGUUUGCUUUUCGGAUAACUUCGGGCACGCCCCUCUGUCUGUCUAUCUUUUGCUCUGUCUGGUUUGGAUGUGAAAGGUUACCCUGAAAUUGGCUGGGGAAUUUGAUGGAAAUUCUACAUUCCGCAUGGAUAUAUGUACAUAUGUACAUACACAUUAUUAUAUAUUAUUUUAUGGAGAAUCAUCACCCAAAAGCAUAUCAAGUGGAAAAUAAAAAUAUACUAGAUAUAUUUUACAGUCUUGGGGUUAUAUUUAAUGCCUUUUGGAACAUUAAAUUUGACAUGAACAUAUUAAAUUGUCUUUUUUUUGCAGUACAUUCUGACUAAAUAUUAAGUAAUUUUAAUCAUUUCAACAUGGACCGACGCUAUCCCAUAAAAAAUUGAAUGAUUCUUUCUAAUAGAGAACAAGUUCAAGGAACUUUAGCCGAUAACAUUUGAUAUGCCAAGUCGAAUCUGGAGGUAACUCAAGAAUAUAUUCCUACGAUAAAUAAUUGCAACAUUUCCAUCAAUAUAAUAUUUUAUACGCACGUAUCUUGUCAGUUAUUUUGGAC